rnacentral:lncRNA from 1 species
AUGACCUUGGAGAGGGACAAGGCACGAAGACAUCCACAUGGCAGUUUUAGCAAGCAGUGGAAGUGCCCACAUGAGGAAUAUGGUGUUCGGUCCUCACAUGUGGUCUUGAUGAAUAAGGGUCUUCUUUGGCCUCUUCCGAAACCGUCCAGCAUCUCAACACUGGAUUUACUCCUCAACAGUCUAAGGUUUGUGCUCCUUCCAUGGUGAUCGACUGUUAGGUCAUAAACAUUAGAUUGUGGCAUCACUGGCUGAGUCAGUUGGGAGGAAGCUGGGCUGGAAAUACAGCUGAAAGUCUCUGUUGACAGAUGCCUUCUUAAUCAUGGCCUGCGUGGGGAAAGGAAAACUGCUGGGCCCACCCCCGGCCUUGAUUCACAAACCUGGACUGCUCUGGAGGAGGCUAGGAAAGCCCGUCCUCGGGGAAUACCACUUUGCUCUCCCCCACACUUCUCACAGGAUAGCAGCACAACUCAAGAGGAGGGGGGGAAAGGGAUAAGCUCUUUCUGGUUACUUUUUGGGUAUCAGCAAAGAAAAACAGUGUUCACCAUCUUUUCGACAUCUCGUGCUAUUCCCUCUUAAAUAGCUUCUAUUGUUAGCAUUGCCUCUUGCCUUCUUUUUUGAUAGGGUUCCUGUUCCACUUUAUUGGCCUUGUCUAUAGAAUGGGCAUCGUAAGAGCUCACCUGUUAGAAGGCAGGAGGUGGGGAUACACAAUAUUGUUAUGUUUCCUUUCACCACAUUUUCCUGUCUCUUUGGGGGGGCACCUAGAUGGCUCAGUC